UACGUAGGGUGCAAGCGUUGUCCGGAAUUAUUGGGCGUAAAGAGCUCGUAGGCGGUUUGUUGCGUCGGCUGUGAAAUCCCGAGGCUCAACCUCGGGUCUGCAGUCGAUACGAGCAAACUAGAGUGUUGCAGGGGAGACUGGAAUUCCUGGUGUAGCGGUGAAAUGCGCAGAUAUCAGGAGGAACACCGGUGGCGAAGGCGGGUCUCUGGGCAACAACUGACGCUGGAGGAGCGAAAGCGUGGGGAGCGAACAGAA
rnacentral:rRNA from 1 species